rnacentral:lncRNA from 1 species
GAAAAGUCAAUCAAUAUGGCAAAGUUCACUGUUGUCUUAUUUUGAGAAAUUGCCACAGCCACCCCAGCCUUCAGCAAUCAUCAACAUGAAAGCAAGACCCUCCAUUAGCAACAAGAUUAUGGCUCGCUGAAGGCUCAGAUGAUCAUUAGCAUUUUUUAGAAAUAAAGUAUUUUUAAAUUAAGGAGAGGUGCCCGAUGAGCUCCCAGUCAUGUGGUUCAGGGCGGGCUCUGGAAGACUCACAGAGGAGACUCCUCCAAGAAACCAAGAAGGUUUCUCUCCAAGUCGGGAUCUGCUCUGCUCAGGAUGCUCCUCCAACACACACAGUGAAAAACUGAGCACCUAGAGAGCAACACCAAAAACCCAUGGCCAAUAAUGGAGAACCAAAUCAGGAGAGCAUUCAGCAAAGCAAUUCUUGCUGUAGAAGGAACAGCACAAAAAGCUGGAAGGAAACUGUGGCAUGCGUGAAAGAUAACUUGUCAGUGUUUGCAGUCUACUGAGAUCCCCGCUGCAAGAAAAGGCAGGAUUUUCACUUGCUUCUUGGCCCACCUCUGUUGUCCAGAAUCCAGGACAGGUGACAAGAGAAGCGGAUGUGAUCUGCACAAGCUGGUGCAGCUGGGUUGGGAGUUGCUCCUCCUGGACAGGCCGGGAAGGGUGCUGGAGGGGAGGGAGGAGGAGAGAGGUUUUAGGGGAGGGGUGCUGAGCAGUCAGGGACCUGUAAGGUCACAUUUCUUUCAGGUAUUCUUUCUAGGUGUACUGAAUGGGAACAUUGUCUGUCAUCCCUAGACUGCAUUAAAGACCUAAACUGCUUCCAUUUG